GGAGGCUAGGGAUAGCAAGCUAGUAAUUAGUAAUAGGCUCUUUUCGCCGAGGCAUCGGGUUAAGGGUAAGCUAAGAAAGUUGCAUAACAAUUAGAUAAUCAAGCAAAUAAAUCAAGAGGAGUAAAUAAGAGAGAAAGGAUAAGAUGAAAUUGUAAACCCCCAACAACUCCCUUCAUCCAUAGUUUUCUUCUCGUCAAUUGAAUCAAUCUCUUUUGCAUGUUUAUAUUUUGUUCUCAUAUCCAAUUAAUUAUUUUUAUUUUCCUGUCUUGCGAUUUUAAUUCACACGAACGAUAAGGCCUUUCGAGUCUCUUGGGAAGAACGAUAUUGGGUUUUACCAAUUAUAUUACUUGGAACGAUUUGGUAUGCUUGCCAAUCUGUUAACACACACCUAUUUAUAUUCCUUCUUUACCUUUGACUAUUCAACACUCACUUAACUCAAAUAUCUCCCACUCACUCAUGUCAAUCACAUGCACACCUUCAUCCUCCCUUCCUUUUCCACUCCAACACCUCACGUAGCUCUUCCAUGCAUUAACCAUCUCACUCACUUUCUCUCAAAAUAUAAAAUGCUCUCGCCAUUCUCCUUCUCCUUCUCUUUGCUUUUCACGGAAACCGAGCUCUCUCUUAUCACUUCUCUCUUCUUCUUCUUCUUCUUCUUCUUCUUCUUCUUCUUCUUCUUCUUCUUCUUCUUCUU
rnacentral:lncRNA from 1 species